rnacentral:tRNA from 1 species
GGGGCCGUCGUCUAGCUUGGCAGGAUACUUGCUUGGGGUGCAAGUGGUCGUGGGUUCGAAUCCCACCGGCCCCA